rnacentral:rRNA from 1 species
AAACAUAGAUCGAAUUUAACCAAUUUUAUCCGCCUGGGAAUUACGGACACUAGUCUGAAAACCAAAGGACUUGGCGGUGCUUCAUAUCCACCUAGAGGAGCCUGUUCUGUAACCGAUGAUCCCCGUUAAACCUCACCCCCCCUUGCUCCGUCCCGCCUAUAUACCGCCGCCGUCAGCUUACCCCGAGAGGGAUUAAUCGUAGGCAAAAUUGGCACUGCCCAAAACGUCAGGUCAAGGUGUAGCGAAUGGGGGGGGCAGAAAUGGGCUACAUUUGCUUGCUCUAAGCAAACACGGAUGUCUUCACUGAAAAGCGAGACUGAAGGAGGAUUUAGCAGUAAGUGGGAACAGAGUGCCCG